AGCGAACGCUGGCGGCAGGCUUAACACAUGCAAGUCGAGCGGGCGUAGCAAUACGUCAGCGGCAGACGGGUGAGUAACGCGUGGGAACGUACCUUUUGGUUCGGAACAACCCAGGGAAACUUGGGCUAAUACCGGAUAAGCCCUUACGGGGAAAGAUUUAUCGCCGAAAGAUCGGCCCGCGUCUGAUUAGCUAGUUGGUGUGGUAACGGCGCACCAAGGCGACGAUCAGUAGCUGGUCGAGAGGAUGAUCAGCCACAUUGGGACUGAGACACGGCCCAAACUCCUACGGGAGGCAGCAGUGGGGAAUAUUGGACAAUGGGCGCAAGCCUGAUCCAGCCAUGCCGCGUGAGUGAUGAAGGCCCUAGGGUUGUAAAGCUCUUUUGUGCGGGAAGAUAAUGACGGUACCGCAAGAAUAAGCCCCGGCUAACUUCGUGCCAGCAGCCG
rnacentral:rRNA from 1 species